rnacentral:rRNA from 1 species
GAUGAACGCUAGCUACAGGCUUAACACAUGCAAGUCGAGGGGAAACGACAUCGAAAGCUUGCUUUCGAUGGGCGUCGACCGGCGCACGGGUGAGUAACGCGUAUCCAACCUGCCCACCACUUGGGGAUAACCUUGCGAAAGUAAGACUAAUACCCAAUGAUAUCUCUAGAAGACAUCUGAAAGAGAUUAAAGAUUUAUCGGUGAUGGAUGGGGAUGCGUCUGAUUAGCUUGUUGGCGGGGUAACGGCCCACCAAGGCUACGAGCAGUAGGGGUUCUGUGAGGAAGGUCCCCCACAUUGGAACUGAGACACGGUCCAAACUCCUACGGGAGGCAGCAGUGAGGAAUAUUGGUCAAUGGACGAGAGUCUGAACCAGCCAAGUAGCGUGCAGGAUGACGGCCCUAUGGGUUGUAAACUGCUUUUAUAAGGGAAUAAAGUGAGUCUCGUGAGACUUUUUGCAUGUACCUUAUGAAUAAGGACCGGCUAAUUCCGUGCCAGCCGCCGCAGUAA